UACAGAGGUCUCGAGCGUUAGGCGGAAUCACUGGGCUUAAAGCGUGUGUAGGCGGAUCGUUAAGUACCUUGUGAAAUCCCACGGCUUAACCGUGGAACUGCUUGGUAUACUGGCGGUCUUGAGCCAGGCUAGGGGCUACCGGAACAAAUGGUGGAGCGGUGAAAUGCGUAGAUAUCAUUUGGAACGCCAAUGGUGAAAACAGGUAGCUGGGGCUGUGCUGACGCUGAGACACGAAAGCCAGGGGAGCAAACGGG
rnacentral:rRNA from 1 species